rnacentral:sRNA from 1 species
CCCGGAAGGGGAAGGCUGAGAAGCUUCGACUAAGGUUCGAUUCGAGCGUAGCGAGAAAGCGUUGCCGCAGGCAACGACCCGAAGGGCGAGGCGCAGCCGAGUCAUCCUUCCCCCACCACCA